AGCUCUGUAAGCGUAUACCAAAGUUGUUGCAGUUAAAACGCUCGUAGUCGAACCUUGGCGGUUGUUUUGCGUCAUCCUCACGGAUGGCUGUGAUUCGGCCGCCUUUGUGGAGGGGGGUGUAGUGGUUCUUUACUGAAUUACUGCAUUUCCGCCACCGUCUACUGUGAAAAAAUUAGAGUGUUCAAAGCAGGCAAUGGCCGUGAAUACAUUAGCAUGGAAUAAUAGAAUAGGACCUGUGUUCUAUUUUGUUGGUUUGUUAGAAACGGGUAAUGAUUAAGAGGGAUGGUUGGGGGCAUUUGUAUUCCAGCGCUAGAGGUGAAAUUCUUGGAUUGUUGGAAGACAAACUGCUGCGAAAGCGUCUGCCAAGGACAUUUUCA
rnacentral:rRNA from 1 species